UACGUAGGGUGCAAGCGUUACUCGGAAUUACUGGGCGUAAAGCGUGCGCAGGCGGUUGUGUAAGACAGGUGUGAAAUCCCCGGGCUUAACCUGGGAAUUGCAUUUGUGACUGCACGGCUAGAGUGUGUCAGAGGGGGGUAGAAUUCCACGUGUAGCAGUGAAAUGCGUAGAUAUGUGGAGGAAUACCGAUGGCGAAGGCAGCCCCCUGGGAUAACACUGACGCUCAUGCACGAAAGCGUGGGGAGCAAACAGG
rnacentral:rRNA from 1 species